ensembl:rRNA 5S_rRNA 5S ribosomal RNA
AGCCACAGCCAUAUGACCCUGCAGCCCCAGACCGGUUACUCACUGAAGCUAAGCAGGGUUGAGCCUGGCCACUACCUAAAGGGAGUCUAAAUGAGAAAACUAGGUUGCUGUUGGAA